rnacentral:antisense_RNA from 1 species
UCUCUAGUCAAGCAUGGUUUAUGGUGCCAAAUAAGUGCCAGGUGAACUCACUACAUCUGACAAAAUCUCAAGGAACCAAGUUUACCAGAUAAUAUUUAUGAUUAUGUGAAAAAGACUGAGGAAAUCACUCUAGUGAUCCAUCAUACAGCACCUCCAGUUCCAAAGAAUACUGACUUACUUCAGCUGUACUGGUCUGGAGCUGCACAUUCUUUUCAGACAACUCUUGUUCCAAUAAGUUCAGGCUAGAGUGCAAUGGUGCAACCUCAGCUCACUGCAACCUCCGCUUCCCAGGUUCAAGCGAUUCUCCUGCUUCAGCCUCCCUGGUUGCUGGGAUUACAGUGGCCUCAUAAAAUGAGUUAGGGAGGAUUCCCUCUUUUUCUAUUGAUUGGAAUAGUUUCAGAAGGAAUGGUACUAGCUCCUCCUUGUACCUCUGGUAGAAUUCGGCUGUGAAUCUGUCUGGUCCUGGACUUUUUUCAGUUGGUGACUCUUCUCCUGUAACAGAGCCUCCUUCUUAGAAACUAUGGCCUCCCGUUUCUUUAAGUCUUCUUCCAGCUCCUCUAAUUCUUGGCGUUGGUUCAGAACUUUCUCUACUUCUUCAUCUAACCAUUUCUUUUGCUCAUCCAAUUUCUACAUUAAAAUUUAAAAAAAA